CACGUAGGGGGCAAGCGUUGUCCGGAAUUACUGGGCGUAAAGGGUGCGUAGGCGGAUCUUUAAGUCCUGGGUGAAAGCCCACGGCUCAACUGUGGUUGUGCCUGGGAAACUGGAGAUCUAGAGGACCGGAGAGGGCAGUGGAAUGGCCGGUGUAGCGGUGAAAUGCGUAGAUAUCGGUCGGAACACCAGUGGCGAAGGCGACUGCCUGGACGGCACCUGACGCUGAGGCACGAAAGCUGGGGGAGCAAAC
rnacentral:rRNA from 1 species